AACGAACGCUGGCGGCAUGCCUAACACAUGCAAGUCGAACGAGACCUUCGGGUCUAGUGGCGCACGGGUGCGUAACGCGUGGGAAUCUGCCCUUGGGUUCGGAAUAACUCGCCGAAAGGCGUGCUAAUACCGGAUGAUGUCGAAAGACCAAAGAUUUAUCGCCCAAGGAUGAGCCCGCGUAGGAUUAGCUAGUUGGUGAGGUAAAAGCUCACCAAGGCGACGAUCCUUAGCUGGUCUGAGAGGAUGAUCAGCCACACUGGGACUGAGACACGGCCCAGACUCCUACGGGAGGCAGCAGUGGGGAAUAUUGGACAAUGGGCGAAAGCCUGAUCCAGCAAUGCCGCGUGAGUGAUGAAGGCCUUAGGGUUGUAAAGCUCUUUUACCCGGGAUGAUAAUGACAGUACCGGGAGAAUAAGCCCCGGCUAACUCCGUG
rnacentral:rRNA from 1 species